rnacentral:lncRNA from 1 species
UGGUCAAACGCUGGGCCAUUUUAACCCAGGGAACAUUUCUGAAUGAACUUUUUAGAGUCCAAUUUAUCUGAUCCAGAAGACAGAGGGUGACAGGAAGUGGAUAACAUGAGUUACAUCGUUACUGAAUGACAGUGAACCUCAGGCCACUUGGACACCCUACAGAAAACAAAGUCUCUCACCUUUCGUAUGCCUUGAGUCUAUGGAAUCUACCUGUAACCCGGUCUCUGGUGCAGUUGGUCAAAGAAGAACUUUCUGCCUUGGACCUCAGGUAAAGAAUCCUAUACCUGAAGAAUCCUGCUGACUAACAACAUGUGUCUUGCGUAAUUUGGAUAAUGCCAUCUAUUCAAUAG